rnacentral:rRNA from 1 species
AUAUCAAUAAGCGGAGGAAAAGAAACCAACAGGGAUUGCCUCGGUAACGGCGAGUGAAGCGGCAACAGCUCAAAUUUGAAAUCUGGAGCCUUCGGCUUCCGAGUUGUAAUUUGAAGAGGAUGUUUCGGUGCGACCUGGGCCUAAGUUCCUUGGAACAGGACGUCAUGGAGGGUGAGAAUCCCGUACAUGGCUGCAGGUUUGCUUCUAUGUGAAACUCCUUCGAAGAGUCGAGUUGUUUGGGAAUGCAGCUCAAAAUGGGUGGUAAAUUUCAUCUAAAGCUAAAUAUUGGCGGGAGACCGAUAGCGCACAAGUAGAGUGAUCGAAAGAUGAAAAGCACUUUGAAAAGAGAGUUAAACAGCACGUGAAAUUGUUGAAAGGGAAGCGCUUGUGACCAGACUUGCGCCGGGCAGAUCAUCCGGUGUUCUCACCGGUGCACUCUGCCCGGCUCAGGCCAGCAUCGGUUCUCGUGGGGGGAUAAAGGUCCCGGGAACGUAGCUCCUCCGGGAGUGUUAUAGCCCGGGGCGUAAUGCCCUCGUGGGGACCGAGGUUCGCGCAUCUGCAAGGAUGCUGGCGUAAUGGUCAUCAGCGA